AGAGGUCCCGCCUGCCCAGUGACUUUAAGUUUAACGGCCGCGGUAUUUUGACCGUGCAAAGGUAGCGCAAUCACUUGUCCUUUAAAUGAAGACCUGUAUGAAUGGCACCACGAGGGCUCAACUGUCUCCUUUCUCCUGUCAAUGAAAUUGAUCUCCCCGUGCAGAAGCGGGGAUAAAACCAUAAGACGAGAAGACCCUAUGGAGCUUUAGGCACCAGAACAGACUAUGUUAAGCACCCUAAACACAAAAGACAAAACUAACUAGACCCUAUUCCAAUGCCUUCGGUUGGGGCGACCGCGGGGAAAUAAAAAACCCCCAUGUGGACCAAGAGCACAUCACUCUUACAACCCAGGGCUACAACCCUAAGUAACAGAACCUUCUGACCAGAAUGAUCCGGUAAAACCGAUCAACGAACCGAGUUACCCUAGGGAUAACAGCGCAAUCCCCUUCUAGAGCCCAUAUCGACAAGGGGGUUUACGACCUCGAUGUUGGAUCAGGACAUCCUACUGGUGCAGCCGCUAUUAAGGG
rnacentral:rRNA from 1 species